rnacentral:rRNA from 1 species
AAAGGUAAGCUACUAAGAGCGAAUGGUGGAUGCCUUGACUGGUAAAGGCGAUGAAGGACGUACUAGACUGCGAUAAGCUACGGGGAGCUGUCAAGAAGCUUUGAUCCGUAGAUUUCCGAAUGGGGCAACCCAAUGUAUAGAGAUAUACAUUACCUAUAUAGGAGCGAACGAGGGGAAUUGAAACAUCUUAGUACCCUCAGGAAAAGAAAUCAAUAGAGAUUGCGUCAGUAGCGGCGAGCGAAAGCGCAAGAGGGCAAACCCAGUGCUUGCACUGGGGGUUGUAGGACUGCAAUGUGCAAGAGGUAAGUUUAGCAGAACA